CUCAAUUCCCGCACUUUUCCUGUCAACUAAAAACCAUCAAAAGACUCUCUCUUGGCAAAAACAAAAAACGAAAUGGCCAAUCUGAUAGAAACCUAUGCAUGCGCCCCUUCUACGGAACGAGGCCGUGGGAUUCUAAUCUCCGGCGAUUCCAAAUCCAACUCCAUUCUUUAUUGCAAUGGAAGGUCGGUCUUCAUUCGAAACCUUGACCGCCCUCUCGACGUUGCCGUUUAUGACGACCACAGCUACCCCGUCACUGUCGCUCGUUACUCCCCAAACGGAGAGUGGAUCGCCUCUGCUGACGUCUCUGGAACCGUUCGAAUCUGGGGGACGCAUAACGACUUCGUUUUGAAGAAUGAGUUCAAGGUCCUUUCGGGUCGGAUCGAUGAUCUUCAGUGGUCCCCAGACGGGUUAAGGAUCGUUGCCUCUGGCGAUGGCAAAGGGCAGUCCUUUGUUCGCGCUUUUAUGUGGGAUUCGGGUUCAACGGUGGGGGAAUUUGAUGGGCACUCGAAGAGGGUUCUGAGCUGUCAUUUUAAACCGACGAGGCCGUUUCGAAUUGCAACUUGUGGAGAGGAUUUCCUGGUGAAUUUUUAUGAAGGUCCACCCUUUAAGUUCAAGUUAUCUCACAGGGACCAUUCAAAUUUCGUCAACUGCAUUAGAUUUUCCCCAGAUGGAAGCAAACUAAUCAGUGUAAGCUCAGAUAAGAAGGGUAUAAUAUAUGAUGCAAAGACUGGUGAAAAAAUUGGAGAGUUAUCCUGUGAAGAUGGUCAUACAGGUAGCAUUUAUGCUGUUAGCUGGAGUGCUGAUAGUAAACAUGUACUAACUGUCUCUGCUGACAAGACUGCAAAGAUAUGGGAGAUAUUUGAGGAUGGUACUGGAAAAGUGAAGAAAACAUUGGAAUGCCCUGGGUCUGGCGGAGUGGAGGACAUGCUUGUUGGAUGUCUGUGGCAGAAUGAUCAUCUCAUUACAGUUUCCCUUUGUGGCACAAUGAACUUAUUCUCUGCAAGUGAUCCUGCUAAACCCCCAUUAUCUUUGUCUGGACAUAUGAAGAACAUAUCUACAUUAACUGUAAUCGAGAGCAACCGAAAGAUGAUUCUGUCCAGCAGCUUUGAUGGAUCCAUCCUUAGAUGGAUUCAAGGGAUUGGAUACAGUGGUAAAUUAAAGAGGAAAGAUUGCUCUCAAAUUAAAUGUUUGGCUGCAGUAAAAGAUGAGAUAAUUACAUCUGGAUAUGACAACAAGGUAUGGAGAGUUCCUCUGCAAGAGGAUGAAUGUGGGGUUGCAGAACAUGUAGAUGUUGGCAGCCAGCCAAAAGACUUGAGCCAUGCCAUUAAAUCCCCUAACCUGGCUUUAGUUUCAACUGAAUGUGGAGUUGUAUUGCUUAAGGGUCUUCAAGUACGAUCAAACAUCAACCUUGGAUUUACAGUGACAGCUUCUGUUAUUGCACCUGAUGGAAGUGAGAUUAUUGUGGGGGGGCAGGAUGGUAAGCUGCAUAUAUAUUCUGUCUCAGGUGAUUCUCUUACAGAAGAAGCAACCCUUGAGAAGCAUAGAGGUGCAAUUAGCGUGAUACGUUAUUCGCCAGAUGUUUCCAUGUUUGCUUCAGCCGAUCUCAAUCGUGAAGCAGUUGUUUGGGAUCGUGUCUCCAAAGAGGUGAAGCUGAAUAACAUGUUGUACCACACAGCUCGUAUCAAUUGCCUUGCUUGGUCUCCUAAUAGCACUAUGGUGGCUACGGGAUCACUAGACACUUGUGUAAUUGUAUAUGAAGUUGGCAAACCUCCUUCGAGCCGCAUAACUAUAAAGAACGCUCAUCCUGGUGGAGUUUAUGGCUUGGUUUUUACUGAUGACUGCAGUGUGGUUAGUUCAGGGGAGGAUGCCUGCAUCCGCGUUUGGAGGAUAGAGCAGCAAUAAUACAAGUACUGCAUCAGAAACAUAUAAUGCAGGUCCAUAAACAUGUUUCAGGGUACAAUUUCCUUUUUCAAAAAUAUUUUGCCAAAGAAUAAAAUGAGAGCAAAGCAUGCAGCUUUCAUCCUUGUGAUCAUCAAUUUACUUGGGAGAAGAAACUUGCUUAUCUUUGGUGUGAUUGUCAAUCUGGUGAUAUUUUAUCUACUCAAGCCCGAGAUAGAAAGGCUGGUUGUGACUGCAUUUAUCCGGGGAGAGUGGACUAUUGGGGCAAAACAGGACGGAAAAGUUAUAUUAUGAAAUAAAGCAGGCAGCAUUUCAAAAUAGAGGUGAUGCUCAUUUUCUAUUCUUUCUUAAAAGGGAAAAAAAAAGCAUUCAAAAUAUUUUAUUUCAUUUUGGUUUCUUCCACAUGAAACUUGGUUACUGUUCAUGACAGUUCUUAA